UGGGAACCGAGACAGUGAAGUUUGAAAAGAGGCAUGCGAGCGCUGCUUUCCCUGAACUUUGCUUGUGACUUAGGGGAGGUGAGGGUGGCCUGCCUUUGCACAUUCUUCCUGCUUCCACCCUCCUGAAUUCAGGAUUCUGUGAAUCAGUGAGCUCCAGAUUUUGGCCUUCCCUUCAACCUCUGCAGCGCUGUCAGUUCCUCAGCUGGGCUUUUCCUAGUUUUGCCCUUUACUUGAGAUUAUUCACUGUAUUGAUGAGUUUUGCGUUUUAAAUUGAAAUGCUCUGUCAUUAGGGAGGAUUUAUUGAUAAUAUAUAUGAGGAUCUAAUGCUAAGUUUAAAAAGAAAAAAUAUGAGACUGUUAAUUUAUAAUUUCUUUAUUAAAGAUUUUACAGAAAACGGAAAGUUUUUCAAAAACUAAUCGUCAGAAGUCUACAAAAGGCCAGGUUUUACGUAAGAAGAAGGAAAAGGCUGUAGGCACUCUUGACACUGCUGAGAAGACUGUGGAUAGCCAGGGCCCCACACCAGUUUGUACACCAACAUUUUUGGAGAGAGGAAAAUCUGAAGUGACAGAAAUGAAUGAAGAUGAUAAAGAUAAUGAAAUAGUUUCCAAACAGCCCGUGUCCUGUGUAAAAGAAGAAAUACAGAGGACUCAAACACUACACAUUCACGGAAGAAAAGAUGAAGAAAAAGCAAUCAGUCAUUUUUAAUGUAUUGUAUUUUCUGAGACAUACAAUAUUUUUAUCGGGGUGGACUUACUAUUUUACUAUGUACAGUGAAAUGUAACCCUUGACAGGAUUGUCAGAGGAAAAAUACACUGUUUGGUCCAGUUAAGGAAAGCAGUCUCUAAUUCUGGAUUGCCUGCCCUUGGCUGAAAUACAAGGGUGCAGACCGGUUUGCAGUG